rnacentral:tRNA from 1 species
GUCAGGUUGGCCGAGUGGUCUAAGGCGCCAGAUUUAAGCUCUGGUUCCCGAUAGGGCGUGGGUUCGAACCCCACACCUGACA